UCUGGCUCCAGAAGUCUGAAACCAAGAUGUCAGCAGGGCCAUGCUCCCUCCGAGGGCUCCAGGGAAAGAUCCUUCCUCGCCUCUUCCGGCUUCUGGUGGUGUGGCUGCAACCCCUGGUGUCCCUUGGCUUGUGGCUGCAUCACUCCAAUCUCCACCUCUGUGGUCACACAGCUGCCUUCUCUGUGUGUGUUUCUCCGUGUCCCUCCUUGGAAGGACACCAGUUGUCUGAUGAGGGUCCACCCUAAUCUAGAAUGAGUUCAACUUGAUUACAUCUACCCAGACCCUAUUUUCAAAUAAGGUCACAGCCUGAGGUUCCAGUGGACAUGAGCUGUGGGGGUACACUUAUUCAACCCAGUAUAGCCUCCAAAGUCAGAGUACCCAGAGCCAGGAAGGACGCGAAUGCACAGGAAACAGGUCCUGCUGUUACUCCCAGUUUACAGACGUAGACACUGAGGCUCUGAAAAACUAACUUGUUCAAGGUCACAUGACUGAGACACGCAGAGAGGGAAGAGGAUCUGAAGACGCGGGAAGAAGAUGGCCAUCCACGUACGAGUAGAGGGGGAAGGCCUGGAAAGGACUCUCUGUCGUACCCCAAGAUGGAAUGAGCCCUGCUGACACCCUGGUCUCGGACUUCCGGCCGCCAGAGCUGUGAACGACACAUUUCUGUUGUUUAAGCCACCCAGCAGCAGGUGCUUUGUUAUGUCAGCCCUAGCAGACAA